rnacentral:rRNA from 1 species
AUUGAACGCUGGCGGCAUGCUUUACACAUGCAAGUCGAACGGUAACAGGCCUUCGGGUGCUGACGAGUGGCGAACGGGUGAGUAAUGCAUCGGAACGUACCCAGAGGUGGGGGAUAACGCAGCGAAAGCUGUGCUAAUACCGCAUGUGAUCUGAGGAUGAAAGCGGGGGACCGAGCAGCAAUGUUUGGCCUCGCGCCUUUGGAGCGGCCGAUGUCGGAUUAGCUAGUUGGUGGGGUAAAGGCCUACCAAGGCGACGAUCCGUAGCUGGUCUGAGAGGACGAGCAGCCACACUGGGACUGAGACACGGCCCAGACUCCUAAGGGAGGCAGCAGUGGGGAAUUUUGGACAAUGGGGGCAAGCCUGAUCCAGCAAUGCCGCGUGCGUGAAGAAGGCCUUCGGGUUGUAAACCGCUUUUGGCAGGAACGAAACGGUGUCCGCUAAUACCGGGCGCUAAUGACGGUACCUGCAGAAUAAGCACCGGCUAACUACGUG